rnacentral:rRNA from 1 species
UCGAACGACUCUCGGCAACGGAUAUCUCGGCUCUUGCAUCGAUGAAGAACGUAGCGAAAUGCGAUACUUGGUGUGAAUUGCAGAAUCCCGUGAACCAUCGAGUCUUUGAACGCAAGUUGCGCCCGAGGCCACUAGGCCGAGGGCACGUCUGCCUGGGCGUCACA